rnacentral:rRNA from 1 species
CCUACGGGUGGCUGCAGUAAGGAAUAUUGGUCAAUGGACGCAAGUCUGAACCAGCCAUGCCGCGUGGAGGAUGAAGGUCCUCUGGAUUGUAAACUUCUUUUAUUUGGGAAGAAACUCCCGAUUUCCAUCGGGAUUGACGUUACCAGAUGAAUAAGCACCGGCUAACUCCGUGCCAGCAGCCGCGGUAAUACGGUGGGUGCCAGCGUUACCGGGAUUCACGGGGGCGAAGGGGUGCAGGUAUGGCAGUGUUGGAAUCUCCGGGCUUAACCCGGAAACUGCCAUUGAUACUAUUUGUCUUGAGUACGGUGGAGGUGAGCGGAAUAUGUCAUGUAGCGGUGAAAUGCUUAGAUAUGACAUAGAACACCCAUUGCGAAGGCAGCUCACUACGGAAAUAUUGACGCUGAGGCACGAAAGCGUGGGGAUCAAACAGGAUUAGAUACCCGGGUAGUC